rnacentral:tRNA from 1 species
CAGAAUGUAGUUUAACUUAGAACACCGGCUUUGGGUGCCGGAGGUGGGAGUGAAAGUCUUGUCGUUCUGA